rnacentral:rRNA from 1 species
CCAAGACGAUGAUGGGUAGCCGGCCUGAGAGGGUGAACGGCCACAAGGGGACUGAGACACGGCCCUUACUCCUACGGGAGGCAGCAGUGGGGAAUAUUGGACAAUGGACCAAAAGUCUGAUCCAGCAAUUCUGUGUGCACGAUGAAGUUUUUCGGAAUGUAAAGUGCUUUCAGUUGGGAAGAAGUCAGUGACGGUACCAACAGAAGAAGCGACGGCUAAAUACGUGCCAGCAGCCGCGGUAAUACGUAUGUCGCAAGCGUUAUCCGGAUUUAUUGGGCGUAAAGCGCGUCUAGGCGGCUUAGUAAGUCUGAUGUGAAAAUGCGGGGCUCAACCCCGUAUUGCGUUGGAAACUGCUAAACUAGAGUACUGGAGAGGUAGGCGGAACUACAAGUGUAGAGGUGAAAUUCGUAGAUAUUUGUAGGAAUGCCGAUGGGGAAGCCAGCCUACUGGACAGAUACUGACGCUAAAGCGCGAAAGCGUGGGUAGCAAACAGGAUUAGAUACCCUGGUAGUCCACGCCGUAAACGAUGAUUACUAGGUGUUGGGGGUCGAACCUCAGCGCCCA